rnacentral:rRNA from 1 species
CACGUAGGGUGCGAGCGUUGUCCGGAAUUAUUGGGCGUAAAGAGCUCGUAGGCGGCUUGUCGCGUCGUCCGUGAAAACCUGGGGCGUCAACCCCAGGCUUGCGGUCGAUACGGGCAGGCUCGAGUUCGGUAGGGGAGACUGGAAUUCCUGGUGUAGCGGUGGAAUGCGUAGAUAUCUGGAGGAACACCGGUGGCGAAGGCGGCCUGCUGGGACAUG